UGUCGAUCCAGGCAUGCCUAGGCUAAACAUCAGAAAACGGUGGCUUUAAGAUUUUUGCAGUUUGCCAGCGGUGCUAUCAGAGCAGGACUUUGCCGGAGAAGCCCCACUCAGCAUGAUGAGCAGGAGGACCCACAUACACAGUAGGGUUGGCCCACUACAUUUGAACGCCGACUCUCUUCGCCAUCUCUUCGCCUACUGAAGACCUUCCUCUUUCAACAAACCUUUUAAGCAAAGACCUUAUCCCAGUCU